UAGAUACCCCACUAUGCCUAACCGUAAACUUUAAAUUACACCCACAUCGCCAGGGAACUACGAGCAAAGCUUAAAACCCAAAGGACUUGACGGUACCCCACAUCCACCUAGAGGAGCCUGUCCUAUAAUCGAUAAUCCACGCUUAACCUCACCAUUUUUAGCCUACCAGCCUGUAUACCUCCGUCGUCAGCUUACCUCGUGAGCGAUUCUUAGUGAGCUUAAUGUCCACACGCCAAUACGUCAGGUCAAGGUGCAGUAAAUAAAAUGGGAAGAGAUGGGCUACACUCUCUAGCAUAGAAUACACGAAAGACUACAUAUGAAAUCUAGUCAGAAGGCGGAUUUAGUAGUAAAAAGGGAUCAUAAAGCUCUUUUUAACAUGGCACUGGGGUGUGUACACACCGCCCGUCACCCUCUUCAAAGCUAAGAGAUAGUAUUUAACGUAAUAUAGCAAACCAGAAGAGGCAAGUCGUAAC
rnacentral:rRNA from 1 species